AGGACGAACGCUGGCGGCGUGCUUAACACAUGCAAGUCGAGCGGUAAGGCCCUUUCGGGGGUACACGAGCGGCGAACGGGUGAGUAACACGUGAGUAAUCUGCCCUCCACUUGGGGAUAAGCUUCGGAAACGGGGUCUAAUACCUGAUACGACAACUACCUGCAUGGGUUGGUUGUGGAAAGUUCUUUUCGGUGGGGGAUGUGCUCGCGGCCUAUCAGCUUGUUGGUGGGUAAUGGCCUACCGAAGGCUUACGGACGGGUAGCCGGCCUGAGGAGGGUCGACCGGCCACACUGGGACUGACGACACGGCCCCAGACUCCACGGGAGCACGCAGGUGGGGAAUGUUGGAACAA
rnacentral:rRNA from 1 species